GACGAACGCUGGCGGCGUGCUUAACACAUGCAAGUCGAACGGAAAGGCCCUGCUCUUGUGGGGUGCUCGUGUGGCGAACGGGUGAGUAACACGUGAGUAACCUCCCCUUGACUUUGGGAUAACUUCAGGAAACUGGGGCUAAUACCGGAUAGGAGCUCCUGCUGCAUGGUGGGGGUUGGAAAGUUUCGGCGGUUGGGGAUGGUCUCGCGGCUUAUCGGCUUGUUGGGGGGGUAGUGGCUUCCCAAGGCUUUGAGGGAUAGCCGGCCUGGGCGGGUGACCGGCGACAUUGGGCCUGAGGGACGGCCCAGUCUCCUACGGGAGGCAGCAGUGGGGAAUAUUGCAGAGUGGGCCGAAGCGUGUUGCGGCAGCGCCGCGUGCGUGAUAACGGCUUUCGGGUGAAAAACCGCUUUCGCAGGUGACGAAGCGUGAGUGACGGUAAUUGGUAAAGAAGCACCGGCUAACUACGUG
rnacentral:rRNA from 1 species